rnacentral:rRNA from 1 species
GAUGAACGCUAGCGGCAGGCCUAACACAUGCAAGUCGAACGGUAAGGUCCAGCUUGCUGGACACACGAGUGGCGCACGGGUGAGUAACGCGUAUGCAACCUACCUCUGACAGGGGGAUAGCCCGAAGAAAUUCGGAUUAAUACCCCAUAAUACUGGCAUACUACCUGGUAUGCAAGUCAAAACUCCGGUGGUUAGAGAUGGGCAUGCGUGACAUUAGUUAGUUGGUGAGGUAACGGCUCACCAAGGCGACGAUGUCUAGGGGGCCUGAGAGGGUGGUCCCCCACACUGGUACUGAGACACGGACCAGACUCCUACGGGAGGCAGCAGUGAGGAAUAUUGCGCAAUGGAGGCAACUCUGACGCAGCCAUGCCGCGUGCAGGAUGACAGCCCUACGGGUUGUAAACUGCUUUUAUACAGGAAGAACUCUUCCGACGUGUCGGGAGUUGACUGUACUGUAAGAAUAAGCAUCGGCUAACUCCGUGCCAGCAGCCGCGGUAAUACGGAGGAUGCAAGCGUUAUCCGGAUUCAUUGGGUUUAAAGGGUGCGUAGGCGGGGAAAUAAGUCAGUGGUGAAAUCCUGCAGCUUAACUGUAGCACUGCCAUUGAUACUGUUUUUCUUGAGUUCGGUUGAGGUAGGCGGAAUGUGUAAUGUAGCGGUGAAAUGCUUAGAUAUUACACAGAACACCGAUUGCGUAGGCAGCUUACUAAGCCGAGACUGACGCUGAGGCACGAAAGCGUGGGGAGCAAACAGGAUUAGAUACCCUGGUAGUCCACGCUGUAAACUAUGAUCACUAGCUGUUGGCGAUACAAUGUUCAGCGGCAAAGCGAAAGCAUUAAGUGAUCCACCUGGGGAGUACGAUCGCAAGAUUG